AUUGAACGCUGGCGGCAUGCCUUACACAUGCAAGUCGAACGGCAGCACGGGAGCAAUCCUGGUGGCGAGUGGCGAACGGGUGAGUAAUAUAUCGGAACGUGCCCAGUCGUGGGGGAUAACGCAGCGAAAGUUGUGCUAAUACCGCAUACGAUCUAAGGAUGAAAGCGGGGGAUCGCAAGACCUCGCGCGAUUGGAGCGGCCGAUAUCAGAUUAGCUAGUUGGUGGGGUAAAGGCCCACCAAGGCGACGAUCUGUAGCUGGUCUGAGAGGACGACCAGCCACACUGGGACUGAGACACGGCCAGACUCCUACGGGAGGCAGCAGUGGGGAAUUUUGGACAAUGGGCGAAAGCCUGAUCCAGCCAUGCCGCGUGCAGGAUGAAGGCCUUCGGGUUGUAAACUGCUUUUGUACGGAACGAAAAGGUUUGGCCUAAUAAGCUGAGCUCAUGACGGUACCGUAAGAAUAAGCACCGGCUAACUACGUGCCAGCCGCCGCGGUAA
rnacentral:rRNA from 1 species